rnacentral:rRNA from 1 species
AUUGAACGCUGGCGGCAUGCCUUACACAUGCAAGUCGAACGGCAGCGCGGGGCAACCUGGCGGCGAGUGGCGGACGGGUGAGUAAUAUAUCGGAACAUACCCUAGAGUGGGGGAUAACGUAGCGAAAGUUACGCUAAUACCGCAUACGCACUAAGGUGGAAAGUGGGGGAUUCGCAAGAACCUCAUGCUCAUGGAGUGGCCGAUAUCUGAUUAGCUAGUUGGUGAGGUAAAGGCUCACCAAGGCGACGAUCAGUAGCUGGUUUGAGAGAACGACCAGCCACACUGGAACUGAGACACGGUCCAGACUCCUACGGAGGCAGCAGUGGGGAAUUUUGGACAAUGGGGGCAACCCUGAUCCAGCAAUGCCGCGUGAGUGAAGAA